UACGGGGGGAGCAAGCGUUGUUCGGAUUUACUGGGCGUAAAGGGCGCGUAGGCGGCCACCGCAAGUCGACUGUGAAAUCUCCGGGCUUAACCCGGAAAGGUCAGCCGAUACUGCGGGGCUAGAGUGCAGAAGGGGCAAUCGGAAUUCUUGGUGUAGCGGUGAAAUGCGUAGAUAUCAAGAGGAACACCUGAGGUGAAGACGGGUUGCUGGGCUGACACUGACGCUGAGGCGCGAAAGCUAGGGGAGCAAACGGG
rnacentral:rRNA from 1 species